rnacentral:tRNA from 1 species
UUUGGUGUAGUAUUAAAAAAUACUUAAUAUUUCUAUUAUUAAAAUAUAUGUAUAAUUCAUAUUAUCUUUC